GACGAACGCUGGCGGCGUGCCUAAUACAUGCAAGUAGAACGCUGAAGAGAGGAGCUUGCUCUUCUUGGAUGAGUUGCGAACGGGUGAGUAACGCGUAGGUAACCUGCCUUGUAGCGGGGGAUAACUAUUGGAAACGAUAGCUAAUACCGCAUAACAAUGGAUGACACAUGUCAUUUAUUUGAAAGGGGCAAUUGUUCCACUACAAGAUGGACCUGCGUUGUAUUAGCUAGUAGGUGAGGUAAUGGCUCACCUAGGCGACGAUACAUAGCCGACCUGAGAGGGUGGUCGGCCACACUGGGACUGAGACACGGCCCAGACUCCUACGGGAGGCAGCAGUAGGGAAUCUUCGGCAAUGGGGGCAACCCUGACCGAGCAACGCCGCGUGAGUGAAGAAGGUUUUCGGAUCGUAAAGCUCUGUUGUAAGUCAAGAACGGGUGUGAGAGUGGAAAGUUCACACUGUGACGGUAGCUUACCAGAAAGGGACGGCUAACUACGUG
rnacentral:rRNA from 1 species